CUGGCAAAGAACUCGUACAAGAGUUGAUUUGAGCUGAAUACAAGCAGUAUUAUCCAUUAAUAUAUUCUUCUGUUCUUCAAACAUCUCUGUGAAGAUGUCUUCCUGUGGAGGAAACUGCGGAAACAUGUAUCCUGAUGUGGAAAAGGUCACAACUGUGACCAUCAUCGAGGGAGUUGCACCAAAGAACACAUACUCUGAUGAAUCUGCUGAGAAAAGCUCUGGUGCUGAAGGAGGUCAUGGCUGCAAGUGUGGUGCAAACUGCAAAUGUGACCCUUGUACCUGUUGAAGACAUAAUAUAUAGUUAGUUUAAGUCCCCCAAAGCAGCUGUUCUGAUCUUGUCAUCAAGAAAACUCUUUGGGGGGGAAAAAGAAGUGCUUUUGAUGUGGUCUGUGCUUGUAAUAUAUAAUAAGAUGGUCAUGGCUUCUGCAAAUCUUUGUACUAGAUUUGUCAGAUAAAUCAUGGCCAUGCACUCCUGAGUCCUUGUAACCAUCCUUGUUUUGUGUCAGUUUACUGAAUUGCAAUGCUUGCUUAUUGAAGAAA